GUGCUCACUUUGGCAGCACAUAUACUAAAACUGGAACGACACAGAGAAGAUUAGCAUGGCCCCUGCACAAGGAUGACAUGCAAAUUCGCGAAGCAUUCCAUAUUUUU
rnacentral:snRNA from 1 species